GAAAAACCAGAAAAGAAAUGGGAAAAAAAAA
rnacentral:rRNA from 1 species